UCUUACAUAACGAUCAUGGGUGAGGCGCUCGACGCCUCAUAAUAGGGAAGCCGGUUCAACUCCGGCGCGGUCCCGCCACUGUAAAUGGGUUUGCUCCUUCAACGCCACUGUUUCUGAGAAAUGGGAAGGCGAGGGAGCGCAUAUUCAUGAGCCAGGAGACCUGCCCAUGUUCUGAUCACACC
rnacentral:ncRNA from 2 species